GUCCAAUUUGAAGUGCUUGUAAAAGAUCUACUUUGUCAUGUCCAGCUGAUAUCUGGAAUGUCAGCUUGCUGCUUGGGAAAGAGGUCAUUACAGGGCAUUUAACUUUGGGAGACAACUAUAUAUAGAGGUGAUGAUUGAAAACUUGAGAACAGAUGAAAAAGAGAAGAAGUAUAUAUACGUAACAUCUACUAUAUGCCAUGAACUAUAGAUACAGAUGCCACAG
rnacentral:lncRNA from 1 species